rnacentral:lncRNA from 1 species
CAAGCUGCGGAUAACACAAGGUCCAAAUCACGAACCGAGAAGCUGGAUGAAACACCAGUUUUUGGCUGUGCAUGCCGACAUGAAUUCCCUCGGCUGUUAUUCAGUCUGAAACAUGGCGAAAGGUAAGCACAUUCAGCACAAGAUGAAGGAAGCAAAAAUAGCAGAGGAACACAGUAGACAGCAAUUGUAGAAGCUUAUGCCACCCUGAAAGAGCCCAUUAACUUGGCAACCAUUGAGGGCUGGCAGUUGGAGGAAAGAAAUGCCUGCAAGGUAGCAGAUGGGUUAAUGACUGCUAGAGAGAAAUAUGAGCUAACCCUGUAUGACCUGUACAGCAAACAGUCUUCAGAUGCUGAAUUAAGCCAACAAGAAGAGAAUACCAACCCUGAACUUUUCAGGCUUUCUGAAAGGGUUCGAAGGUUUUAACAAGUAGGCCAUGAGGCGUUUGCAAGCGACAGUGCAGAAUAUAAAGAGGUACUGUCCAAUGCCAUCAAUAGCCACCACAGAGCUCACAUCAACAAGGUGGACAGGAGGUGGCCAAGAAGAUAAGCAAGACCGUUGCUCAGCUUAACAAGCAAAUGAAAGUCCUGAUCACCAGUUACAACAGCUAUGGUGACGUCACAUCCAACUUGCCAUCUGCCCUCAGUUUUGCAGGUGUUUCCUCUGAGAAGUGUCAGGUUUUUUCAGCAUUACCAGACUUUCCUGACAUUAAGAGAAAAAUUAUGCGCAUAAAGGAUAUGGCUGCAGGCUGCACAGAAGAAACACACCUUUUGAAAGUAGAAGCAGCUACUGCAAGGCAAUUUUAUGUAGAAAAAAUUGCACUGUGCCAGCAACUGAUAGCUGAUCAGGUCACAGAAACCAACAUUGACUCUGCAUGCAGCCGGUACAGCAUAGGCAGGCGCGCGCUGUUGCAUCAGCAAGUAUUUACAUAUGAACAGCAUCUGGCUGAGCUCCAGUUUCCUAGCUCUUCAGCAUCCAUCCAACUAAACAUAUCUUGUCCUUUAAUGGACAAAGAACUGAUGGAAAUCAGCAAUCUGGAAAGAGAUGAACUUGUGUCAAGGGUGGAGGAUGGACUUGACAAAGAUGAGUCAGAGGACGAGGAAAGUGAAAAGAAAUGGGAUAGUGAUAGCUGAUAUACUUGCAUCAUGCAUUUUUAAAAAAUUAAUAUUGUUUCUAUGUUACAUGCUGGGCUGAGGAUUUGUUUUCUUUUUCUGUAUUUUUUUUUGGGGGGGGGGGGGCCUCUGUGAUCUGCAUAGAUUUCAAUGUAAGGACACUGUGUAAGUAUUGCAUUUGGUCUGUGUGUGGGCUAUGUUGGUACUUGAAAAUUUUAUGAUAUGUAAAGAUAGUUACAUGGCAAUAAAGUCCUAGCUGUGUGCCCUCUUUAAAUCCUCUUGGACAUGCUUUUUUCUUAGCAUUUAUUUACAGUACACCACAUGACAAUUUUAUAUAGCAAUUUAAGUGAGUGAAGACCACACAUAAACAAAUGCAUAAAAAUAUCAAUCAGUUUUUAAAAAAGAAAAAGAUAUUAUUUUUCAAAAUACUGAAAGUGAAAAUUAAUGUAGAAUUGAGUAUCAGAGACAAUGGAAGUAAUUGGCACACAGUUACUAUGUCUUGUUUUGUAUCAUGGUUAUUGGGGGAUUAGGUUACAGACACCGUAGAUGAACUAGUUUUGAUAAAAUAGACAUGCUUAACCUAAAUGAUGUAAACACUUAACAUCACUCAGAAUAUGUAUCAGUUUCAUCCUGCCAGGCAAUGCUAUUAUGGUGAAUUCGAUGUUUCCACUAGUAACAUGUACAUUUUUGUUUGAUAAUGAAUUUUAUGAAGCCA